CCAGAGAACUUAGCAGAGAUGCUUUGGUGGCCUUCGGGAACUCUGAGACAGGUGCUGCAUGGCUGUCGUCAGCUCGUGUUGUGAAAUGUUGGGUUAAGUCCCGCAACGAGCGCAACCCUUAUCCUUUGUUGCCAGCGGUCCGGCCGGGAACUCAAAGGAGACUGCCAGUGAUAAACUGGAGGAAGGUGGGGAUGACGUCAAGUCAUCAUGGCCCUUACGAGUAGGGCUACACACGUGCUACAAUGGCGCAUACAAAGAGAAGCGACCUCGCGAGAGCAAGCGGACCUCAUAAAGUGCGUCGUAGUCCGGAUUGGAGUCUGCAACUCGACUCCAUGAAGUCGGAAUCGCUAGUAAUCGUAGAUCAGAAUGCUACGGUGAAUACGUUCCCGGGCCUUGUACACACCGCCCGUCACACCAUGGGAGUGGGUUGCAAAAGAAGUAGGUAGCUUAACCUUCGGGAGGGCGCUUACCACUUUGUGAUUCAUGACUGGGGUGAAGUCGUAACAAGGUAAGCGUAGACGU
rnacentral:rRNA from 1 species